rnacentral:rRNA from 1 species
AUUCCAGCUCCAAUAGCGUAUAUUAAAGUUGUUGCAGUUAAAAAGCUCGUAGUUGGAUUUCUGGCGGGAGCGGCCUGUCCUGCCCUUUGCGGGGUUGAGCACAAGCGCUGCAUCCGGCCAUCCUUGUGGAGAGCGUUUCUGGCAUUCAGUUGUCGGACUCGGGAUCCGCAUCGUUUACUGUGAAAAAAUUAGAGUGUUUAAAGCAGGCAUUUGCUUGAAUACAUUAGCAUGGAAUAAUAAGAUAGGACUUAGUCGUUAUUUUGUUGGUCUUGCACGUCUAGGUAAUGAUUAAUAGGGAUAGUUGGGGGUAUUCAUAUUUAAUUGUCAGAGGUGAAAUUCUUGGAUUUAUGAAAGAUGAACUUAUGCGAAAGCAUUUACCAUGGAUGUUUUCAUUA